rnacentral:rRNA from 1 species
GUGAGGAAUUUUCCGCAAUGGGCGAAAGCCUGACGGAGCAAUGCCGCGUGAAGGAUGAAGGCCUAUGGGUUGUAAACUUCUUUUCUCAGAAAAGAAUUAUGACGGUAUCUGAGGAAUAAGCAUCGGCUAACUCUGUGCCAGCAGCCGCGGUAAGACAGAGGAUGCAAGCGUUAUCCGGAAUGAUUGGGCGUAAAGCGUCUGUAGGUUGUUUAAAAAGUAUUCUGUCAAAGAUUAGGGCUUAACCCUAGAUAGGCAGAAUAAACUUUUAAGCUAGAGUUUGGUAGAGGCAGAGGGAAUUCCCGGUGGAGCGGUGAAAUGCGUAGAUAUCGGGAGGAACACCAAAGGCGAAGGCACUCUGCUGGGCCAAUACUAACACUGAGAGACGAAAGCGAGGGGAGCAAAUGGGAUUAGAUACCCCAGGUCC